rnacentral:misc_RNA from 1 species
AUUUUACAUAUUCACUAAAAAUUUUUCAUUUGGGAAUUUCAUAUUCUAAAUAGAGGUUAAGAUAAAAAUCUAACAAACCAUCUAUCAAUAAAUGAUUGCUCUUUGGAGAUAAAAAAUGCAAAAUACACAGUACUUCAAAGAAUGGACUACAAAUUAGAACUUGAAUAAGAUUACCUGAAUGAUCAGAUGUUGUCGCCUAAUCUUGCUUAUCUUUCCAUUUCGCCCUAACUGAAUAAAAGAAAUUAGGAAUUACAAGGGGAAAAAAAAAA